rnacentral:rRNA from 1 species
UGUAAGCGUAUACCAAAGUUGUUGCAGUUAAAACGCUCGUAGUCGGAAUUUGGCAGUUCCGGAUGUGUGCACGUCGUGUGCGCACUUCGCGGGGAUUGCUUUUGUGGUCUUGCGUAGGAUGAGGCACUUUUAUUAGUGAACGUCCUCACGCAACCACUUUUUACUGUGAGAAAAUCAGAGUGCUCAAAGCAGGCAUUUGCCGUGAAUGUAUUAACAUGGAAUAAUAGAAUAGGACUUGGUUCUAUUUUGUUGGUUUGUUGGGACUGAGUAAUGAUUAAGAGGGACAGUUGGGGGCAUUUGUAUUUCGGUGCUAGAGGUGAAAUUCUUAGAUUACCGAAAGACAAACUGCUGCGAAAGCGUCUGCCAAGGAUGUCUUCAUUGA